rnacentral:misc_RNA from 1 species
GAUGAAGAACGUAGCGAAAUGCGAUACGUAAUGUGAAUUGCAGAAUUCAGUGAAUCAUCGAGUCUUUGAACGCACAUUGCGCCCCCUGGUAUUCCGGGGGGCAUGCCUGUCCGAGCGUCAUUGCUGCCCUCAAGCACGGCUUGUGUGUUGGGCCUCCGCCCCCCGGCUCCCGGGGGGCGGGCCCGAAAGGCAGCGGCGGCACCGCGUCCGGUCCUCGAGCGUAUGGGGCUUCGUCACCCGCUCCGUAGGCCCGGCCGGCGCCCGCCGGCGACCCCCCUCAAUCUUUCCAGGUUGACCUCGGAUCAGGUAGGACUACCCGCUGAACUUAAGCAUAUCAAUAAGCGGAGGA